CCUGGCGGCACGCUUAACACAUGCAAGUCGAACGGGAUCUUCGGAUCUAGUGGCAGACGGGUGAGUAACGCGUGGGAACCUGCCCAGUAGUAGAGAAUAACUUGAGGAAACUUAAGCUAAUACUUUAUACACCCUUCGGGGAAAAGCUUUAUGCGCUAUUGGAUGGGCCCGCGUUAGAUUAGUUUGUUGGUGAGGUAAUGGCUCACCAAGACUACGAUCUAUAGCUGGUCUGAGAGGAUGAUCAGCCACACUGGGACUGAGAC
rnacentral:rRNA from 1 species